UAUCCCAUUGGUUAGGUUUCUCUGGCAAACCUUGAGUAAUACAGAUACAGUUUGGGAGUUCAGUUUGGGCCUCUCAUCUGUGGCUCCCCCUUCCUUCCCCGGAGGCUUUUCACCAUCACCGUCACCAAGACCAGACCCCCAGAGCUCUCAUAUUCAGUCCUCCCCACAAAGAAGCUCCAGGAUGAGAGCUGAUCUGUUAGGGAGAUAAUAUCAGAGUCAGUGUGACACCCUCCAAGGGAGACUUUCCCCCUGUAUCUUAAGUGGUAGAAGAAAAAACAGUCAUCAACCAGCAGGUAGGUGAGGUUUAGGAGCAUCCAAGGGGUUCUCCCAAUGCUUCUGACACUGGACUUACAUGGACAGCUGAGUGCAAAUGAGGUUAUGCAGUCCUGCACCUCCAGACGUGGUGAUGGAGAACAAGUAGGGCUAGGUCUGUGACAGCUGCCUCUCUGUGUGCUGAAAAGAGGAUGGCCAGUACAGCAGUACUUAAGAGAAGGAGGCCCGUCACUCCACUAGCCUCAGGCAGUCUCAUGCUGCCUGCAGAGCAUCCCCUGUGGGCCAAGACCUGGUGUGGGCCAGACAGAGAGUGCCAGUGCAAUGGGAGUGAAGACCCCAGCCUUCUUGCAGCCUCCAGCUUAAGUUGGUUGACAGGCACAUCAUCACCAGGGGUCUCAAGUCUGGUGGAAGACAAACAAUCUGCACCCUGGGGAGCCUCAGGCCUCCUGGCCUAAUUUGAGAGAUGUGGUUUCUGCCACAGGUCAGUAUUUAGGACAAACAUACAUGUUUAAAAGACCUAAGAAGGGAAACAAAUAAGACAUUAACAUGUGCAAAUGGUUACAGCUGAAUAGCUAGUGUCAAGAGAUAGGACAGAGAGACAGAGCUGAGAGCAGGAUGUCCCAAACACGUGGAGUCAGCCCCUCAUCACCCCUCAGCCAAAUCAGGUGGUGAUGAGGGUGGGGUGGGAGUGGGGAGCUCCAGGCAGGAGGGGGUACAUUGUAGGUACAGCAUUAGUUAUUAGAAAACCCAGUGCCCUACCAAAUUGCAGGCAGUGACUGCUGUACAAUACUGAAAGUGAAUACUGUGCAAUUGUAUGCAUAUGUAUGUGAAAGCGUGAAAAUUACCAAGGGGACAUAUUUGAGGGAUCUCUAACAGCAUUCCUUGGGUGUUUUGUAUGCACGAGUUUAUGAUUUGUGAGCAUAACUGUGUGUAGAAUGUGUACAUGUUUGUUUGUGUGUGCUUACAGUUGUGGGGGCUUCCUUUCUGUUGGGGGAAGGUUGAAGAUACCCAUGAACUAAUCAUCAAAUCUGCUCUCUUUAUUAUUCCAGGAAGCAUUCCCUGUGAACCCAGGCGAACUCGUUCCUGCAUUGGUCUGGUUGGCUUUCCUUGUGAGAUAUAGGUUCCUCCUGAAGACCUGGAGCUCCAGUUCGGCUCUAGACUUCUCCUUGCUUCCAGACUUCGAGAUGAGAAGCAUUUUUCCAGUGCAUAAGUGUCAGAGGACACUGCCAAUGGUGUGUGUUUUGUCCAGGCUGGACUCAGCUUCUUUGUCUGGGAAAAGGUUAAGUUUUCUUCAAAAUAAGAAGCAUCUAGAGAACCUGAGACCAUUAAGCGAACUUUUAGAAGUAGAUGAGAAGGAAAGUUGGAAAACAAGACCAUGCUCUAGAGAGUGAACCUGGGAAGAAGCUGAGAUACCCUACAGCCUGGAAAGCAAAUUCAAUUUUGAAGGAAAAGUCAUGCUUCAAUUAAUAACAGACAAUGGAGUCGAUAUGAUGGGAGCAGAGACAAUGAUGUGAUCAAAUGCCAAGAAAUGACUGACAGCAGAAAAAAUAUCAUGUGAGCCAAAGCAAUUUCUCUUGACUUCUAACUUUAUUCAUCCAACAAAUAACAUUUCAUCACAGUUUUAUCAAUGGAAUGCAAUUCCACCCAGAUCAUUCUGUCAACGACAAGCAAUAGCAUCAAAUCAUUCUGUCCACACAAAUAAAUCAAUUGUUGAUUAUUGUUUUCUUCUAUUUGGGAUACAAGGAGGACCAAAUAUUUUGAGUAAAACAAAGGAAAGGAAAGCAGGAAAAA